rnacentral:rRNA from 1 species
AUUGAACGCUGGCGGAAUGCUUUACACAUGCAAGUCGAACGGCAGCACGGACUUCGGUCUGGCGGCGAGUGGCGAACGGGUGAGUAAUGUAUCGGAACGUGCCCAGUCGUGGGGGAUAACGUAGUGAAAAUUACGCUAAUACCGCAUACGAUCUAUGGAUGAAAGCGGGGGAUCGCAAGACCUCGCGCGAUUGGAGCGGCCGAUAUCAGAUUAGGUAGUUGGUGGGGUAAAGGCCCACCAAGCCAACGAUCUGUAGCUGGUCUGAGAGGACGACCAGCCACACUGGAACUGAGACACGGUCCAGACUCCUACGGGAGGCAGCAGUGGGGAAUUUUGGACAAUGGGAGAAAGCCUGAUCCAGCCAUUCCGCGUGCAGGAUGAAGGCCCUCGGGUUGUAAACUGCUUUUGUACAGAACGAAAAGGUUUCUACUAAUACCAGGAGCUCAUGACGGUACUGUAAGAAUAAGCACCGGCUAACUACGUGCCAGCAGCCGCCGUAA